CCUAUGUACUCCUGAGUGUUGCUUUAAACCU
rnacentral:piRNA from 1 species